GUUGACUGACGGACGGUGUUGUGUGGUUCUGAUCUUAAGAGAGAGACACCAGGAUGGCAGCUGAAGGGGCCACAGAGAAGAGAGCCAACUUGGUGGCAUCUAAAGUCAUGUGGAGUAACAGGGAUGACGUACCUAUGUCAGCACCAGAACGGUCACAUGGCAGUGACAGAGCUGGAAUCUGUAGACAGAACAACGUCCAGCAGUGGCUUAGAAGUCAUGAGGCGGAUGCAAAACCAGACCACACCAGAGAAGCUGCAGCAGGUACGGCACAUAGACAUUUACUUUGAUUUACUGAAGUUUAAUACCAAGAAGGUUCAUCUAAAAAUGUUUGAGUCAUUUCUCAUGAGUCAUUUGUUGUUAGUGCUGGUACAGUAGGAGUUCUAUCUACAGUGUAGUUGCUCAUUGUGGUUAUUUUGGUGACACUUCAGCUUAACACCGUGAAGUACAUUCAAUAUUAGCCAUAGACCAGUGGUUACUGAAAGAUGUUUGGAUUUAAGUCAAGUUUAAACUUGAGCAUGACAUACUACCAGUUGAGCUAGAUUGAAACUGUUGGAAAAUGUGAGUGUAAGAAAUGUUACACGACAAUACACAACAAGUCAUUACAAAACCAAUCAACUCAUCCUGUAAUGUAAAGGUUAAAAAUCAAGCCUUAGUAUAACAGAGAUGAUAUAUGGAUAUGUAUUUGUAUACGUAACUUGGAAUUGUCAUAUUCACCAUACAUGGGUGUUAUCUCUGGGUAAUGAAGAGGUUGUGUAGCUAGAAAGGCAGAGACUCGGCAAGGCAGAUAGAUUCAAACGACAUGCAAACUAGGACCGUGAAAGCCAUGGGAACAACAUCUUGUUAUAACCAUAACGACACAAGGCGAGACCCAGAUGCAGACACGGGAGGCAGAUGGUUUGAGUUCCGAUAUUUAUUAUAGUCCAAGGGGUCAGCAAAAGGCAGGUCAAGAGUUCAUAACCAGGUCAGAGUCCAAAACAGUACAGGGCUGCAAGCAGAAUGGUCAGGCAGAUGGGCACAGAGUCAGAACACGAAAACCAGAGACUUGGCAACCCACUGGUUGACUUGGCAAACAAGAUGAACUGGCACAGACAGACAGAAAACACAGGUAUAAAUACACAGGGGAUAAGUGGGAAGAUGGGCGACACCUGGAGGGGGUGGAGACAAGCACAAGGACAGGUGAAACAGAUCAGGGUGUGACAAUAACUCUGUGCUGUAACCAACCAGCCCCUAAACAUCCACUAAAUGUCCUUUACUGUUGGUCUUAGCCAUCACUGGUUUAUUAUGUCACACAAAACAAGACUGCUGUUGUUGAUUCCUUUAUCACUUUCUUCUUCUGAGGUCAUUUGUAUCUGUUAGAAGCUGAGUACAGAAAUACCAAGUCUGCCUCUUCUGUCAGACUUGGU
rnacentral:lncRNA from 13 species